CCGGUUGAUCCUGCCGGACCCUACUGCUAUCGGGGUGGGACUAAGACAUGCGAGUCGAGCGUCUCCCAAUUGUAGAGACGCGGCAUACGGCUCAGUAACACGUGGCUAACCUACCCUUAGGACGGGGAUAACCCCGGGAAACUGGGGUAAAUCCCCGAUAUGUGAGAACGCCUGGAAUGGUUUCUCACAGAAAGGGUGUUGGAACCACGCAUUCCAACAUCGCCUAAGGAUGGGGCCGCGUCCGAUCAGGUAGUUGGUGAGGUAACGGCUCACCAAGCCUAUAACCGGUACGGGCCGUGAGAGCGGGAGCCCGGAGAUGGGCACUGAGACAAGGGCCCAGGCCCUACGGGGCGCAGCAGUCGCGAAAACUCCGCAAUGCGCGCAAGCGCGACGGGGCUACCCCGAGUGCCAUCCGCUGAGGAUGGCUUUUACCCGGUGUAAUGAGCCGGAGGAAUAAGGGGAGGGCAAGCCUGGUGUCAGCCGCCGCGGUAAUACCAGCUCCCCGAGUGGUGGGGAUGAUUAUUGGGCCUAAAGCGUCCGUAGCCGGCUCGACAAGUCCCCCGUUAAAUCCGGCGAUCUAAUCGUCGGGCUGCGGGGGAUACUGUCGGGCUAGGAGGCGAGAGAAGCCGACUGUACUCCUGGGGUAGGGGUGAAAUCCUAUAAUCCCAGGAGGACAACCAGUGGCGAAGGCUGUCGGCUAGAGCGCGCUCGACGGUGAGGGACGAAAGCUGGGGGAGCGAUCCGGAUUAGAUACCCGGGUAGUCCCAGCUGUAAACGAUGCAGGCUAGGUGUUAGCGUGACUACGGGUCACGCUAGUGCCGCAGGGAAGCCGUUAAGCCUGCCGCCUGGGAAGUACGGUCGCAAGACUGAAACUUAAAGGAAUUGGCGGGGGAGCAC
rnacentral:rRNA from 1 species